GACGAACGCUGGCGGCGUGCUUAACACAUGCAAGUCGAACGGAAAGGCCCUGCUUUUGUGGGGUGCUCGAGUGGCGAACGGGUGAGUAACACGUGAGUAACCUGCCCUUGACUUUGGGAUAACUUCAGGAAACUGGGGCUAAUACCGGAUAGGAGCUCCUGCUGCAUGGUGGGGGUUGGAAAGUUUCGGCGGUUGGGGAUGGACUCGCGGCUUAUCAGCUUGUUGGUGGGGUAGUGGCUUACCAAGGCUUUGACGGGUAGCCGGCCUGAGAGGGUGACCGGCCACAUUGGGACUGAGAUGCGGCACAGACGCCUACGGGAGGCAGCAGUGGGGAAUAUUGCACAAUGGGCGGAAGCCUGAUGAAGCAACGCCGCGUGCGGGAUGACGGCCGUCGGGUUGUAAACCGCUUUCGCCUGUGACGAAGCGUGAGUGACGGUAAGGGGUAGAAGCACCGGCUAACUACGUG
rnacentral:rRNA from 1 species